UUUUCAAGUCUGUUACAGAACAGACCUGAAAUGUAUUUUUGCUUGAACAAGGAAUUUGCUCAGGGAUCUGGUUAAGAAUAACCAGUCACCAGACUCCAGCCUGGCUGGGCAUAAUAUUAUUGCAAAGGGCUGAUGGCUGCAAAUGCUCCGGAAGAAUGUGAGUAAACAACCAUAUUAAUUCAACUUGUAUAACUGUAUAUUCAGGAUCCAGAUGCUUGAGAGU
rnacentral:lncRNA from 1 species